UACGAAGGGGGCAAGCGUUACUCGGAAUUACUGGGCGUAAAGGGCGCGUAGGCGGCAAUUCAAGUCAUCUGUGAAAUCUCCGGGCUUAACCCGGAACGGUCAGGUGAUACUGUUUUGCUAGAGUGCGGAAGGGGCAAUCGGAAUUCUCGGUGUAGCGGUGAAAUGCGUAGAUAUCGAGAGGAACACCAGAGGUGAAGACGGGUUGCUGGGCCGACACUGACGCUGAGGAGCGAAAGCGUGGGGAGCGAACAGG
rnacentral:rRNA from 1 species